rnacentral:misc_RNA from 1 species
AACGCACAUUGCGCCCCUUGGUAUUCCAUGGGGCAUGCCUGUUCGAGCGUCAUUUGUACCCUCAAGCUCUGCUUGGUGUUGGGUGUUUGUCCUCUCUUUGCAUAGGACUCGCCUUAAAGCAAUUGGCAGCCGGCGUAUUGGCCUGGGAGCGCAGCACAUUUUGCGAUCUCUGUCAGAUUACGACGGCAUCCAUCAAGCCUUUUUAUCACUUUUGACCUCGGAUCAGGUAGGGAUACCCGCUGAACUUAA